rnacentral:lncRNA from 1 species
GUUCCCGGAAUACCCUGAAAGGAAAUCCUCAUCUUCGUGUUCAGGAUCUGGAGCAGCCCUCUCCCUCGUGUCCGGUUGAUCAAUCCAUCAAAUCGCGCCAGAGACCUUUUCAAUUUUAGUAGCCAAUUCAUGUGUUAUCUCUUCUGUCUUUUCGGAUUGAUUAUCCAGUCUCACUGAAAGGAACAUCAAUUGUGAUUGGAUAUCGACAAGUUGAAAAUAAAUAACAAAACGUAUCGUGUAUUUCCAAU